rnacentral:lncRNA from 1 species
AGAAAGAUCAUUAUUUUGUAGAGGUAAUUAGCUUUUAUUUCUACCAACUGAGUUCUUCUUGGUUAAGUGAUUAUUGCUGCUCAGAGAAGUAUUCAGAGAGAUGGUGAGUUCUUCGUCAUUAAUAAUCUCAGAUACUCUCAUGCAUUUUGGUAGCAAAAGCAUACUCACUUUCCAGAAGAACUUGAAAAUGUAUAAGCGCUUGGUCGUAAUGUACAUAUGGCAUGCACCAGAGCUUACAUGUGUACGUAACAUUUUCUUCACCACCAUGAUGCUGGUACUUCUUCAUCUCAUGACCAGUGUCUCUCUCCAUACCAAUGUAAGUACAAUUUCACUUUUACUUCUGCUCAAGUAAAGUCGCGCUUUUUCUAAGUUAUUUACUCCAAGAUCUUUAUUAAUAGAUGAAAGAAGUUUCAACACAAAGUCGAUGUAUUUUGAUCACAGCUGAAUACUGCUCGCGAAUUUAAGCCAUUCUAUGUUACAGUACAAUUUCAUGAAGUUUCAGUAUAAGGUUCAAUACACCAGGAAAUACAACUAGGGAAGUCCGGCUAAAUACAUUAACACGCCUUCCUCAAUCUAUAUUGGAUAUGUAGAAUCCAGCACUGUAAGGUAUAGAAAAGCUUACUGCAAUCCUUGCAUCCUAUUUAAUUUUUGAUUUUGUAUCAUUUACAACCUGAACAUUUUUCCUCUUCAUGGUAGUGGUGGUCAGAAUACAGGUGGUUGUGAUGGGAAAAAAAACCUGAAAGUAGUGAGGAAGAUUUCGGUCUACAAUGCUUCAGCCUUUUCAGACACUGGUGAUAACUACAUGUACUAUUCUUAUUCAGGUGGUAGGAGGAUCUGGGUCUACUGUGCUUCAGCCUUCUGAGACACUGGAUCGGAUUAUAACUACAUUAAUUUUGAAAUCACAGCUUGGCAAGUUAAGGGAAGAAAUGUCAAAAAUGUCUGUUUUGUCCUCAAUGAUAUGUAUGAUAUGCAACUAUCAU